rnacentral:lncRNA from 1 species
ACAGGAAAAUGGUGGGAAAUGUUUGCAGCUCCUCAAUGACUCAGUUACGACAGCAGUUGCGUGCAUGCCUUGGUGAUGCAGGAUGACUGGUUUUCCUGCUGUAGGGAGAGUCCCUGACCCCCUGGAGGUCGUGUUCCUGCUGGGCAGUGACCCCGUCGUGUUUUCCUCUCAGUCCUGGAGCCAGUGACGUGACCAGCGAUAGAACGAAGGGUGCAAGUCAGAAAUCUCCACUUCUCACACCCAGCAGCCCUGGAUCCUUCUGGAGUGCUUUGAAAGCCCAGGGCAGAAGAUUAUUAGCUGAUGAUAAUGGGAGCCAGAAGUGUGAAUGGUGUCUUGGCAACAGCUCAGCUGUGUGCGGUGAGUGUCUCAGUGCUGCAGGUAUCUGAUUCAAUGGGGGCAGCUGAUAACGUGGCCCUGCUC